GGUUAAGUCCCGCAACGAGCGCAACCCUUGCCAUCAGUUGCUACGAAAGGGCACUCUGAUGGGACUGCCGGUGACAAACCGGAGGAAGGUGGGAUGACGUCAAGUCCUCAUGGCCCUUAUAGGUGGGCUACACACGUCAUACAAUGGCCGGUACAAAGGGCAGCCAACCCGCGAGGGGGAGCCAAUCCCAUAAAGCCGGUCGUAGUCCGGAUCGCAGUCUGCAACUCGACUGCGUGAAGUCGGAAUCGCUAGUAAUCGUGGAUCAGCAUGUCACGGUGAAUACGUUCCCGGGUCUU
rnacentral:rRNA from 1 species